GCCCCGGUGGUGUAGCCCGGUCAGCCUGCGUGGGACCGAAAGCAUAGCGGCCUCUCGAGCCGCAGAUCCCGGGUUCAAAUCCCGGCCGGGGCACCA
rnacentral:tRNA from 1 species